UAAGCGGAGGAAANGAAACUAACAAGGAUUCCCCUAGUAACUGCGAGUGAAGCGGGAAAAGCUCAAAUUUAAANUCUGGCGGUCUUUGGCCGUCCGAGUUGUAAUUUAGAGAAGCGUCUUCCGCGCCGACCGUGCACAAGUCUCCUGGAAUGGAGCGUCAUAGAGGGUGAGAAUCCCGUCUUUGGCACGGAUGCCCGGUGCUUCUGUGAUGCGCUCUCGAAGAGUCGAGUUGUUUGGGAAUGCAGCUCAAAAUGGGUGGUGAACUCCAUCUAAAGCUAAAUAUUGGCGAGAGACCGAUAGCGAACAAGUACCGUGAGGGAAAGAUGAAAGGCACUUUGGAAAGAGAGUGAAACAGUACGUGAAAUUGUUGAAAGGGAAACGCUUGAAGUCAGUCGCGUCGACCGAGACUCAGCCUUGCCUCGGCUUGGUGUACUUCUCGGCCCGACGGGUCAGCGUCAAUUUUGCUCCUCGGAUAAUGGCAAGGGAAAGGUGGCACCUUUACGGGUGUGUUAUAGUCUCCUGUCGCAUGCGAGGGUUGGGAUUGAGGAACUCAGCGCGCACCUUGGUGUCGGGGCUUCGGCCCACGUCACGCGCUUAGGAUGCUGGCGUAAUGGCUUUAAACGACC
rnacentral:rRNA from 1 species